rnacentral:rRNA from 1 species
UUGUAGGGAACUGAAAAGGGACCGACCCUUCGGGGAGCCUAUACAGGUGUUGCAUGGCUGUCGUCAGCUCGUGUCGUGAGAUGUUCGGUUAAGUCCGCUAACGAGCGCAACCCUCGUCGUAUGUUAUAUGUGUCAUACGAGACUGCCGGUAAAAAGCCGGAGGAAGGUGAGGAUGAUGUCAAGUCAGCAUGACCUUUAUAUCCAGGGCUACACACACGCUACAAUGGUCUGUACAAUGGGUAGCCAAGCCGCGAGGCGGAGCCAAUCCUGAAAGCAGGCCUCAGUUCAGAUUGCAGUCUGCAACUCGACUGCAUGAAGCCGGAGUUGCUAGUAACCGCAGGUCAGCAAUACUGCGGUGAAUACGUUCCCGGGUCUU